rnacentral:lncRNA from 1 species
AUACACUCAAUUUAAUACUUAUAUUUUAAUCUUAUCUCAUUUUUAUCAUAUUUUUGUUUUAUAAAAUAACAAUAAUGUUAUGGCAGCAACUCAUGCAUCCAUUGAUGAAGGAUGGAUAAACAAAAUUUAGUACAUACACACAAUGGAAUAUUAUUUGGUUUUAAAUAGGAAGGAAAGUCUGACAUAUGCUCCAACAUGAAUGAAACUUGAGGAUAUUUUGCUAAGUAAAAUAAGCCAGUCACAAAAGGAUUAAUAUUGUAUGAUUCCACCCACAUGAGGUACUUAGAGCAGUCAAAAUCGUACAAACAGAAAGUACAAUAGCAGUUGCCAGGGGCUGAUGGCAAGAGAAGGUUGAAGAUUAUUGUGUAAUUAGUAUAAAGUUGAAGUUUCACCAGAAGAAGAGAGUUCUAGAGAUGGACAAUGGUAUUGUUAGCACAUUUCAUGUGCAUUUAAUAUCACUGAACUAUACACUUAAAAAUGUUAACAUGGUAAAUUAUAUGUUUGUGCAUUUUACCCAGUAGAAAAUUUGGGGAAAAAAUAUAACCCUGGGGUUUUGUUUUCCUGUGGUUGGUCUAAGCACUCAUGAAUUUCUAUUGUUUUAAAAUUUCAUCUGCCAGGAAUCUAAGAAUUCGUUGGUCCUAGAUGAAUUUUGUGUUAACAUCUCAAACAGAAAUUUUGAACUCAUGAAGCUGUUGAAAAUGUGGAACGAGUCGUCUGUGGUCCAGGCCUAGGACUGCGGUUCGGGACAUCUAGCCCAGGACCAGCCUGGAGUUAUUCUGCCCACAUCUCAUCAAGUGGACAAAUAUGGAAGCUCAGCCUAAGGGCAGGGCUAACUCCUGGGAGUACCACGUGAGAGCAACAAGGAGGGUCCAGGCCCAGAAAAUGUAUGCUACAAAAAUAUCACCAGUCCUCUCAAAGCCAUGCUCUUCACUGGCACUGGAAGAAAUUCUGUAAACCAAGACAUGGCUCUUUUAAGGUAAUAAGCUAAGUUGUAUUCCUUCCGGGUUUUUUAAAGACAUAAAAUUGGUGUUCCAGGAAACAUUAGAUUCAGUUGCCCUCACAUAUCCCAAUACCUUCAACUGGAGGCACAUUUUCUUUUCCUCUUCUUCUUUAGAAUCUUAAUAAAAUCAGUCAACAAACAAAUGAGUUUCA